rnacentral:lncRNA from 1 species
UCUCUUUCUCUCUCUAAAUUUUGGGAACCCCCUUCUCUCUCUAAAAUUUGAAAACCACAUAUAUAUAUAUAUAAAUAUAUAAACCCUCUCUCAAUCUCUAAAUUUUGAAAACCCUGUCACUCUCUCUCUAAAUUUUGAAAACCCUGUCACUCUCUCUCUAAAUUUUGAAAACCUGUCACUCUCUCUUUAAAUUUGAAAACGCCCCCCUCAUCCCCCUCUCUCUCUCUGGAGUUCUAAUAUAUGGAAUUCUCAUUUUACAGGAUGAUAGG